GAACGCUGGCGGCGUGCUUAACACAUGCAAGUCACGGGGGCCCGCAAGGGUAACCGGCGAACGGGUGCGUAACACGUGAACAAUCUGCCUAGAUGUGGGGGAUAGCCGGCCCAACGGCCGGGUAAUACCGCAUACGCUCACCGGGUGGCAUCACCUGGUGAGGAAACCUCCGGGGCAUCUAGAGGAGUUCGCGGCCUAUCAGCUAGUUGGUGGGGUAACGGCCUACCAAGGCGAUGACGGGUAGCUGGUCUGAGAGGAUGGCCAGCCACAUUGGGACUGAGAUACGGCCCAGACUCCUACGGGAGGCAGCAGUGGGGAAUAUUGCGCAAUGGCCGAAAGGCUGACGCAGCGACGCCGCGUGGGGGAUGAAGCAUUUCGGUGUGUAAACCCCUGUUGCCCGGGACGAACAACUGGAUUCUUCCAGUCUGACGGUACCGGGUGAGGAAGCACCGGCUAACUCCGUGCCAGCAGCCGCGGUAAUACGGAGGGUGCGAGCGUUGUCCGGAAUCACUGGGCGUAAAGGGCGCGUAGGCGGUCUGCUAAGCGUGCGGUGAAAGCCCGGGGCUCAACCCCGGGUCUGCCGUGCGAACUGGUGGACUAGAGCACUGUAGAGGCGAGUGGAAUUCCGGGUGUAGCGGUGGAAUGCGUAGAGAUCCGGAAGAACACCGGUGGCGAAGGCGGCUCGCUGGGCAGUAGCUGACGCUGAGGCGCGAUAGCGUGGGGAGCAAACAGGAUUAGAUACCCUGGUAGUCCACGCCGUAAACGAU
rnacentral:rRNA from 1 species